rnacentral:rRNA from 1 species
UACGUAGGGUGCGAGCGUUGUCCGGAAUUAUUGGGCGUAAAGAGCUCGUAGGCGGUUUGUUGCGUCUAUCGUGAAAACCUGCAGCUUAACUGUGGGCUUGCGGUGGAUACGGGCAGACUUGAGUCGGUAGGGGAGACUGGAAUUCCCGGUGUAGUGGUGGAAUGCGUAGAUAUCGGGAAGAACACCAGUGGCGAAGGCGGUUACCUGGAGCUUUGCUGACGCUGAUGCGCGAAAGCGUGGGGAGCGAGUCCGG